rnacentral:rRNA from 1 species
UGCCAGCCGCCGCGGUAAUACGAAGGGGGCGAGCGUUGUUCGGAAUAACUGGGCGUAAAGAGUACGUAGGCGGAUUGAUAAGUUAGGGGUGAAAUCCCGAGGCUCAACCUCGGAACUGCCUCUAAUACUGUCAAUCUAGAGAUCGAGAGAGGUGAGUGGAAUUCCUAGUGUAGAGGUGAAAUUCGUAGAUAUUAGGAAGAACACCAGUGGCGAAGGCGGCUCACUGGCUCGAUACUGACGCUGAGGUACGAAAGCGUGGGGAGCAAACAGGAUUAGAUA